rnacentral:lncRNA from 1 species
GUUGAUUCGAUUGGAGGCCGUCCACAACUGAAUCGUUGUCCUCCGCUUCGAUUUGAGGCCCUUCGCUGCCGAAUUGUCACCCUGCGCGCCGGCGGUCCUCAUCUCCCUAUUCGACAUCCUCAUUACCAUCCAUGGACCCGAGAGGAGCUCGUUGAUUCGCCGCGGAGGAGCAAGGCAGCGUCGAUUCAAGCAGAGGGGGAAGCAUGGCCGGCGUCGAUUUGUGGGUUGGACGCAUGGAGGGGAGGAGGAGGCGGGCACCGGACGUGAGGAUGCACGAAGGAAGACAUCGACGUGAGGGGGAUCGAACAAGACGAAGGGGAUUGUUUUGAUGUGGACAUGACUUUUUGCCAAAAGUCUCUCAUUGAAACAUGUAAUUUUCGGUACUUUUCGUGUGUCUUGAUCUUUUUAAAAAAAUCCUUAGGAUCUAAGAGUAUUUCUAGAAAGCUUUAUAGGUAUAGAAAGCUUUAUAGGUAUGCAAGUCUAUAGGUAUGCAAGUUUAGGUAUGCUGUUGAAGAGGAGCACCAAAGUUUUAUGAAAAUCUUCUCUCUCAUAUACCUAAAACCGAUUUUAGGUCACCAGUUUUACAUAUGCUGUUGGAGAUGCUCUAAGAGUGGGAGUUUAAGUGAGACUAGAUAUCGCUUGUUUGGUGUGAGGGUUUAGAGGUGAGAAUUUUUAUCUUAAGUCAUGAUAAACAGUAUAGAUGUAUUCAUCUUCCACUUAAAAUAAAUUCUCACCCAAUUCCUACCCGUCCCUAGAAAGUGAUUGGUGGGAGUUGUCCCUCUAAACUCCCAUUCCUUAUCCCAUUCUCCCAUUCCUUAUCCCAUUGAAACUCUCAUGCCCACCAAACAAACAAUAGAAUUUUAAUCUCUUUCCUCUAAACUCCCUUUCCCUACCACCAAUU